rnacentral:lncRNA from 1 species
CAUCACUCAGACUCUCUCCUGGAGAUCAUAGUCACCAAGAAGGUGGAGUCAAAGACUUCAAACCCUCUUUCAUUGCUUUGUCACAGGAAGAGACUUAGUUUUAAGGAUGCUCAGAGCUUUGCUAAUUUCAUUUCCCAGGGAGCUCUUGUUUACAGCUAAACAAGGAGCAGGUCUCCAUCCUAUUUCUGAUACAAGCCAGAUUUCGCGGUCUAUUCUUGUGAAUGAUGAUAGACAUUCUGGCCACCUCGAGUACAACCAUAUUGUCUCUGCACAGAUGAAGCAGAUUUAUCACUUUUUCUCUUCCCUUCUAUCCAACAAAUCAUCUUGUGUAACAAAGAAAAAAAAGGGAAAAUAUCCAGCAAAUCCAAG